CCGGCGCCGCAGCCCCCGCGCUAGGCCUUCUUGCACUUGCCCUUCUUCUCGCGCUGCUGGAACUUGCGCAGCCGCCGCGCCCACGUGUCCCGCCACUGGAUCACCAGGCUGCUCUUGUCCGCCACGAUGCCGCUCUGGUCGGGCGAGUCCUCGGCGUUGCCCAGCAGCAGCUGUUCUUGGGCAUCGUCAACUUUGCACUCCAGUCGGAGAGCUCCAAAGAAUGGCUGCCAUGGCAACCGUUUCCAUGUUUUUGUCACCAAGGGACUCAACACUCAGUGUGAACUCCGAGGUGGAGUGGGGAGCCCUCCAGCCCGCAGAAGUGGCCGGGCUGUGUGUUUGACUGUGCACAUGGAGGUCACCGUGGUAACUGAGUGCCCCUCCGCUAAGCGACGGGGGAGCCAGCGUCCCUGGGAACCCCGGUUUCCUCUCCUCGCGGCUGAGCUGAAUGCACAAUGAGGCUCCAUCGGGAUGCCACCGUUUUCCCUGGGUGGCAUCUUAGACCCCUGGUCCCCAGCCACAGUGCCGGGGUGGGCAGGGGGUGGCCUGACAAGGAUGCCGCAGAAGGUGCCUGUGGAUGGGGACUCCGGGGGCUGUGACCCCGGGCACCGAGCAUCUAGUGGCGCUCCAGGCCACACUGCGGCUCUCGGCCCUGGACUCAUCGGAUGAAGUGCCAACCAUCCUCCAGGAGCUCAGAAUGCGACCAUAUUCGGAGAUGGGGUCUUAACAGAGCUGAUUAAGUUAAAGAGGCAGUAAUACGGGGGAGCCUAAUCCAAUGCAACUGGUGUCCUUGUGAGAAGAGCAGAGCAGGACAGACACGGAGGGAGGCCUGCAGGCCAAGGAGAGGCCUCAGCAGGAGCCACCGUGUGGACGCCUUGGUCGCCGACUUCCGGCCUCCAGAAUCGUGAGACAAUAAAUUUCUGUUGGUGAAGCCCCCA